rnacentral:rRNA from 1 species
AAGUUGCGAAGACUUAGUGGCGGACGGGUGAGUAACGCGUGAGCAACCUACCCUUCAGAGGGGGAUAACACAGGGAAACCUGUGCUAAUACCGCAUAAAGCAUAGAUAGCGCAUGAUAUUUAUGCCAAAGUGAUAGCGCUGAGAGAUGGGCUCGCGUCUGAUUAGAUAGUUGGUGAGGGUAACGGCCCACCAAGUCGACGAUCAGUAGCCGGACUGAGAGGUUGAACGGCCACAUUGGGACUGAGACACGGCCCAGACUCC